rnacentral:lncRNA from 1 species
AAUUAACAUGCCCAUAAGAUUUUUUUUGGGUUACAAUGACAACAUUGUUUUUUUUGUUGCUUGUUUGUUUUAUGCUUUACUUUAAGAGUGGUACUUCGACUAUAGCCCGAGUUACAUUUUGAUCCAUCAAUUCAAGUACAGGUUUUAGAGCAUGUCUAGUGCUUGGGCCCAGCCCGGGCAAAAGGCAGCCCUAGGCUCCAAAACCCCCUCCAGCGCGCAAGGUUUAGCCUUGGCAAGAGUUGAGUUCCACGAGCCUAGGCAAGCCCAUGGACAAAUUCAGCCCAAGCUGCUGCCUGGGCAGAAUGAUGUAAUGGUGACGUCAUAAUGACAUCAGCAACAAAAAAAAAUUCCAGAUUUUUUUUAAAUAAAUACCUAACCAUAUUCUUUACUUCCCACAUCAAAAC